CGCGUAGGCGGCAUGGGAAGUCAUGGGUGAAAGCCCCGGGCUCAACUCGGGAAUUGCCUGUGAAACCACUGUGCUGGAGUGCUGGAGAGGGAAGCGGAAUUCCCAGUGUAGCGGUGAAAUGCGUAGAUAUUGGGAGGAACAUCGGUGGCGAAGGCGGCUUCCUGGACAGACACUGACGCUGAGGCGCGAAAGCCAGGGGAGCAAACG
rnacentral:rRNA from 1 species